UACGUAGGGUGCAAGCGUUGCUCGGAAUCACUGGGCGUAAAGGGCGCGUAGGCGGCCGGCCAAGUCGGGGGUGAAAGCCUGUGGCUCAACCACAGAAUGGCCCUCGAUACUGGACGGCUCGAGACCGGAAGAGGUUGGUGGAAUUGCGAGUGUAGAGGUGAAAUUCGUAGAUAUUCGCAAGAACACCGGUGGCGAAGGCGGCCAACUGGUCCGGAUCUGACGCUGAGGCGCGAAAGCGUGGGGAGCAAACAGGAUUGAGAUACCGUGUAGUC
rnacentral:rRNA from 1 species